CUUACUGUUUAAAAAUUCAAAAAAAUUGAUUAUCACAAAAUGCCUCGGCAGUGACUGCGCGUGUAUCGGCACUCGUCGCUACGCUCCUCAGCGCCGUCGUUUCGCUCGUAAACGCGUAAAAUCGUAACCUUUGGUAAGAUAUAACUUCCAAAAUUAUGAUUUGCGAGAAUUUUGGACUAAGACUUUGUGUUCAAUGCUUUAAGUUUUUCCAGAUACAUUUUGUGGUAUGUAAUUCUCCAGUUCAAAAUAUUUGGAAACACCUAUGAUUUUAAGGAAGUCAUCUUAAGCAAUUUACAGAAAGUAUACUCUGUCCAGUAACAGAACAUACUGAAGGCCAACAUAAAUUGGAGUUUCUGUGUAUUUAUCUGCCAUUGUAGAACCGGUCUCAACAGCAAAGU